GACAGAGGGUGCAAGCGUUGUUCGGAAUUACUGGGCGUAAAGGGCGCGUAGGCGGUCCGCUAAGUUCGGCGUGAAAUCCCCUGGCUCAACUGGGGAACGGCGCUGGAUACUGGUGGACUCGAGUACCGGAGAGGAGAGUGGAAUUCCUGGUGUAGCGGUGAAAUGCGUAGAUAUCAGGAGGAACACCGGUGGCGAAGGCGGCCCUCUGGACCGGUACUGACGCUGAUGCGCGAAAGCGUGGGGAGCAAACGGG
rnacentral:rRNA from 1 species